AACCGCACAAAAUAAUUGAUUAUCCUGUGCGGUCGUAUUAAGUCGACCGCACGGGAUAAUCGAUUAUCCCGUGCGGUC
rnacentral:pre_miRNA from 18 species